ACUCCUGCGGGAGGCAGCAGUGGGGAAUUUUGGACAAUGGGCGAAAGCCUGAUCCAGCAAUGCCGCGUGAGUGAAGAAGGCCUUCGGGUUGUAAAGCUCUUUUGUCAGGGAAGAAACGGUGAGAGCUAAUAUCUUUUGCUAAUGACGGUACCUGAAGAAUAAGCACCGGCUAACUACGUGCCAGCAGCCGCGGUAAUACGUAGGGUGCAAGCGUUAAUCGGAAUUACUGGGCGUAAAGCGUGCGCAGGCGGUUUUGUAAGUCUGAUGUGAAAUCCCCGGGCUCAACCUGGGAAUUGCAUUGGAGACUGCAAGGCUAGAAUCUGGCAGAGGGGGGUAGAAUUCCACGUGUAGCAGUGAAAUGCGUAGAUAUGUGGAGGAACACCGAUGGCGAAGGCAGCCCCCUGGGUCAAGAUUGACGCUCAUGCACGAAAGCGUGGGGAGCAAACAGGAUUAGAUACCCGGGUAGUCCCAUGA
rnacentral:rRNA from 1 species